UGUCAGGGGACAGGCUCCGAGUUAGUCACACUGUGCAGUCCUGCCAUGGGGACAGAGUGCAGCCAUUGUUGGGUUAGUACAGUGGCGGGGAUGUGCCUGCCGGCGUGAUGAUCAGGCAGGUCUUGACACAGCACAGACCUGAGCUGUGGGACUGGCCAGGAGAGCCAGGCUGCAGCUCGGGUGUAGGGCGUCUCGCAGUGAAUUGCACUUGGAGAUCUUCCACCUCUUGUGGAGGGGAGAGGGCAGGCGGAGCCGGGGCUAGGCAUUCCUGAGACAGGUGGCGGUGACAGCCUUGCUUGGGACAGAACUGCCAGACAGGAUUGCCCAUGUAUCUGCCAGCCCUGGCCCCAGCAGGAGCCAGUUGGAUGACUCAUGGCUUCCACCUGCAGUUCACUUCACUGAAGAAGGCUGCCGACCCAGGCCACGUGGUAAAUCCCAUGAGGUUUUCUCUGCCUGUGUGCCCCACUGCAGGGGAGGGAGGCAGUGAGUUUGCCAUCUGCCGUGUGACAUUGUGAGGGUGCGCAGAGCAGCUGGGGGUAGCCCGGAUGCAGUUACUGCAUUAGAUGGACACUGUGAAGACGCGCAGCUGUCAUGGGCUCAGCAACAAGGGCCCCUGGCGUCACACAGGGCACCCAGCCGCAUCCUGGGCCUAGGGUCAGGGGCUCCUACAGCUGGAACCUGCACCUUCUGGGGCACAAGGUGCCUUCUUUGUGGCCACCGCAUCCCAUGUCCAGCCCAGGCCUGGACAAUGAUGAGAUGUGCUCAGGUGCUUGGAGAAUCGUAUCUUCCUAGUGAGUUACACCAUUGCUGGGCCUGCUCUGGGCUGCCCUCCCAGCAUCUGCCUUCAUGAUCAGAGGCGUGACAUGUGGGCUGUAACUUGUUGCCCAGCCUCAUGGAGAAACUGUCUUUCUGUAGGUUGGUUCCUGUAUACCUUGGGCCAGAGAGCAAACAUAGGUGGCCUGAGAGAGCCCUGGUAUGUGGUGGAGAAGGACAGCGUCAAGGGUAACGUGUUUGUGGCCCCCCGGACAGACCACCCAGCCCUGUACAGGGACCUGCUGAGGACCAGCCGCGUGCACUGGAUUGCGGAGGAGCCUCCCGCAGCACUGGUCCGGGACAAGAUGAUGGAGUGCCACUUCCGAUUCCGCCACCAGAUGGCACUAGGUGACUGACGGGAGGGCUCCUGAGGACGGGCCCCUUGAAGCUGAGCUUCCUGAGGCCAGAUUUGGGCCAGGGAUGGGAGACCCUGGGGUAGGAAAGUCCCGUUGUGGAGAUUAUUUGGAGAUUACCUAAAAUAUUUAGAACUCCCGUGUCCUGUGCCUGCCCUGAGCGAGGCCUGGGGGUGCUGGGAGCAGAUGCAGGCAGGCCCCGGCGUGUUGGGCUGAAGCAAGCGUGUACACUACCCCGCAGUGUCCUGCUGCGCCCAGGCUGGUGCCCUGCCCUUCCCCUCUAAGCAGGGGUUCUUGACCCCGUGGGCUGGUACUCCUUUCUCCCUGGGGGCCUGAGGUUGACCAGGAAAGGCCUGUGGCCCCCUCCAAGGGCCCCUCUCUUCUACCCAGUGCCCUGUGUGCUGACCCUCAAUCAAGAUGGCACCGUGUGGGUGACAGCUGUGCAGGCUGUGCGUGCCCUUGCCACAGGACAGGUGCGUGGGGUGUGGGGGUGAGCCCGGGGAGGACUGUACUGCUCUGCACCCUGCCAGGGCACCCGGGUUACAGAGGAAGGGGCUGAGGCCCAGGAGUAGGGUGUGCUCGGGUCACACAGCUGGUGAGGGCAGAGUGCCACCAGCCCUGCCCUAGGGGGCUCCUCCCACAGUGACAACUGUGAGAGGAUUUCCACUCUGGUGUCACCAACCAGCCAGUUCCUGCUCGGGCCCUGAGAGGCUCAGCUGCUGCCCGGGCCCCAGAAGCGAGGACAGAAAAUGGAAGGGGCAUGAGGACGGUGCUCAAAGAGGCAGAGGGUCAGGGCCCCUGUGGGCCGAGUGUGCAGGAGCUCCGAGGGUGGGUAGGCCUGAGGGCUCUCCAGGGGCAGGUGGUGGGAGGGAACCUGGGGUGAGGGGAGCAGAAGCAUCCUCAGGCUGCCACCAUGCUCCUUCCUGUCACAGCUCCACGUUCCCAAGGGCUGCAGAGACCUGCCAGUCCCUGGAGUCCCAGGAGAGGCCCCUGUGACUGUCCCACUCAGGGAGAGGUACCCUGAAGACCCUCCCUAGUGAAGCCACUGGGUGCCCUAGGCCUCGCCUCUCCUCUCCUGUUCAGCAGCAGCAGCAGCAAAACCCUGCUCCCCUGGGAGCUCAGCGCCUGGCGCUCCGAGCACAGGCCAGGCCCCAUAGGGGAGCACUCUGCCCCUGCCUGCCCUCGGCUGGCUCCCUGUGGCACCCCUGAUGCCAGGGUCUCUUCCCCCCUACAGUUCGCUGUGUUCUACAAGGGGGACGAGUGCCUGGGCAGCGGGAAGAUCCUGCGGCUGGGGCCGUCUGCCUACACACUACAGAAGGGCCAGCGCAGAGCUGGGAUGGCCACUGAAAGCCCCAGUGACAGCCCAGAAGAUGGUCCAGGCCUGAGUCCCUUGCUCUGACAGAGAUGGAGCUGCUAGAAGGAACCUGGAGAGCAGGACCCAGGGCUGGGCCUCUGGUGAGCAGUCCAGGUGCCCAAGGGCCAGCUUGCUGCUGCCCAAAGCAGAGGAAGCCGGGCUGGCCGAGGGUCCGAAAAGCCUGCAGGGGCCCGGCGAGCCCCAGGAAGAGCCUCACCUCCAGGCUGGGGCUCUGGCUGCUGGAGCAUCUGCUGGCUGGUGGGGUGGCCCAAGUUCCCCUUCACUGCCCCCAGGGAGGGUUUCCCACCUCAGAGUACACCGAGGGGACCUGCAGAGGGGGCUGUCGGGACAGCGUGGAAUAAACAUUAUUUCAAGG
rnacentral:sRNA from 1 species